rnacentral:tRNA from 1 species
GGGUGCGUAGCUCAGCGGGAGAGCACUGCGUUGACAUCGCAGGGGUCGCUGGUUCAAUCCCAGCCGCGCCCACCA